rnacentral:lncRNA from 1 species
CUUUUUUUUUUUUUUUUUUUUUUUUUUUUUUAUUGGCUUUUUUGCUUCUUUGGGCCUCAUCCGUGGCAUAUGGAGGUUCCCAGGCUAGGGGUCGAAUCGGAGCUACAGCUGCCAGCCUACAUCACAGCCACGGCAACGUGGGAUCUGAGCGUCAUCUGUGACCUACACCACAGCGCAUAGCCACCCACUGAGCCAGGCCAGGGAUCGAACCCAUAUCCUCAUGGAUACCAGUCGGAUUUGUUUCCGAGAGGCCCACUCUGCUGCAUCAUGGCAACACUGCCUGGCCUUUGACAGGAGUCCAAGAAAUGUUCCCUGAGUGAAGGGGAGAGCAGAGCCGUACGUCAAGAUCAGGGGAAGAGCAGACAACCAGCCAGGAAGGGAAAGGGCGCUGCAGACCCGCAGACACCAGGGCAAGAAGCAGGAAAGCCAUGGAUAAGGCCAUCUUUGUGGAGCACUGGCUGGUGGUGUGGACAGUAGGGGAGGAGAAGCAAAUACGUAAAUAUACGUGUGGUAAGAUGCAAAUUUCUUUUUCUUCUAAAGGCUGGUGGGAAUAAAAUCUAACUAUCCACGUGGCCAUCGGGGGUGCGCCAAGGGUGAAAUGCCGAGUCUUUACUGAUGAAGGAAGACAGGCGACGGAAAAACAAUCAAAACCCAGGGAGUCGGAGCUUCCUCUAGACCGCAGGGCCGAGAAAGGGGGUGACACAGAGGGGCACAGACGUAAACAGAGGAGGACAGGGCGGGGCCGGGGGCAACUGUGAAAGGCAAGUACUUGCGAACUUGCAGCUCCUGGAGGUCACCACCCCUGGGGACACACGCGUCAGCAUUUUCCUCUUCGGAGAGGUGGAUGUUUCCAGGCAUUUCCACAGGCCAGGCCCUGCAUGCCUGGAUUCCACCUAAUCCUCACACCUUUAUUCUAAGACAGUGUCACUGUCCCUGAUGCAAGGAUGAGGAAGGCCAAAGAACCUGCCCAAGGACACAGUCAGAAAACUGCAGAACUAGAAUUUUUUAGUCUAUUUUUUUAGGGCCGCAUCCGUGGCAUAUGGAGGUUCCCAGGUGAGGCCCUAAAAAAAGCUACUUAUAUUCAAGUUGGCAUUUUUGACAAUUCUGGGCCCCAUGUACAAAAAAAAAAAAAAAAAGAAGGGCUUAAACCUCAGUUCCCGAUAAAAUCUCAUCCCACUCCCAACUUUUAAUUUUCUUUAGUUUUUACCAUUCCAACUUUUGAGCCUGAAAAAGUUCUUUCUAUUGAGGUGCAAUUCGCAUUUCAUCAGAUUCACCAUUCUGUGAGCUAUGCUGUGGCAUUUCAUAUAUCCCCAGUGUUGUGUGGCCACUACCUGACUCACUUCCACCACAUUCCCAUCCAUCACUCCAAAGAGAAACCUCUUCCCCAUUCAGCAGUCUCACCCCUUCCUCCUUCUUCCUGCCCCCGUCAACCACCAAUCGGCCUUCUGUCUUCAUGGGACUAUCUGUCCUGGUCACAGAAAGAGAAUCAUAUAAUAGGCGGCCUGUGUGUCUGGCUCCUGUCACUCAGGACAGUGUUUUGGAUGGACAGCCACGUUGCAGCUGUGUCACUGGUAUCUUCCUCUUGACAGCUGACUAGUCCCCCCUUGUACGGCUAUGCCAGUUUGUUUAAAUGGCCAUCCACUGCUGGACAUCUGGGCUGUUUCCACCUUUGGGCCACCUGAAUAAUGCUGCUAUGAAUGUACAGGUAUUUGUCUGAGUACUUGUUUUAAAUUCCUUUGGGUAUGUACCUAAGAGUGCAACUGCGGGGAUCAUAUGGUAAUUUUUUUUUCUUUUAGGGCCGCACC